CUCUUCCAGUAGCUGCAGUGGCUAUGGCAGUGGCAGAGGAUUUUAAUUAGGAAACAAAGUUUAGCAGGAGAGGAGAGCCAGAGAAGUGACAGCAAAGCUACAGCUUACAACAGAUUUGUGAACUUAGCCAAGCACAGUGGUGGCAGGACCUAGCUGCUACAAAGACAUGUUUUAGACAAAUACUUAUGUGUAAGGACAAGAAACUCUAGGACUAUAUUUGUGA